UGGCGCUACUUCCUGCGGCAGUCUGGGAUUUUAUAAUACGAAAUAAUGCUAUCUUUCGUUUUACUAAUAGACGAUUUCACGUUUGUAAAUGAUGUCUAGGGUAAAUAAAUUAAAUCCAGGCCAACCCUAAGUUCGCCAGGAAUGUCUAAUAUAAGGAGCUGAUUUUCGUCAUCAAAAUAGCCGUAUAACGCUCGUAUUGGUUAGUUAUAAAAAUUGUUAAUAAAAACCAUAAUACCUUUCCUCAUUCAUUUAUUUAAAGAGAUCAAUUCAUAAUUUUAGGAUGUUUGAUACUACCCUACCCAAAAAUGGUUCAAAUUUAAAUAAACAAUUACAUCUUGGUAUUGUAAGUCACUCUUAACAUAUUUUUCUUUAAUUCAUAAUAUUGAUUAAAUCUCCUUAACAUGUCCUACUUAUAAGAGCCCAAACAAAUGAGCUCAACAGUUCUCUAUGCAGUAGCAUACGCAUACAUAACUGUAACAGAGAAAUAGUUUGUUUUGAUAGAUUUAUAUGAAUUUUGUAACAUGGCAUUGAUCUUAUGGCUUUCUUUAUCAACACAGUCUGAUUAGCAUAUGUAUCCAGGUCUUCAGAUACUUAAAAAUGGAUAAAAAAAAGACAUGCUUCACCAGAAAUGAAUGUGUCCAGGUCCUCUGCACAUUCAAAUAGGAAGGCAUCUCUUGCUUCUAAAUCGCCCCGCAGGUAUUCUUCGAACAGUCUUUGUUGGUUUUCGUCAUCCAUCUGGAGAUAGGCAGGUUCCAUCUCCUCCCCACAGAAAAAUGCACGACCACAUGGUGCCUAGGGGUGACUCUUUUGUGGUGGUAGACUCUGACACACUGGAGACAGACUCAAGGGUUAGGUGACAUGCUUUCCAAAAUCAAACGAAACCACCACCUGCGGAGCUGAAGGAUGUCUACCUAACAGAUAAAACACAAAGCUAAGAAUGCAGUUGAAAAACUUAUUGGAAAAAAG